UCUUCUUUUCCACUUUUCUAGCUUUUGGAGGACAGCAGCAUGCUGCAGUUUUCUUUUGACUAGAGUACAACAGCACCUAGUGGUUAGUGCAGUUUGUAGGACAGCAUAUUCGCAUCUCUAGGAAGCAUAUGCUGUAGCCCUUGGGCUAUAAAUAUGUAUCCCAACCCUUAGACGGGUAUGACAUUGUAGUGUUUGAGAAAAUAAGCAAAAUCACCCCAACUCAUAGUGUCAUCCUCUCGAUGAGAGUAAGAGUCUCGUUGCUUACACCAUCAAGGUCGUUCAGUGUGACAAUGAUCGUGAGUUUGAUAGCUCCUCUCGGUCCUUUUCCUCCCAUGGAGUCUAGCUCCGGAUGUCCUACCCUACACUUCUCAGAAUGGCACGGUUGAGUGCAUGAUUCGCACCACUAAUCACGCCAUGCAUUCCCUGCUAUUUCAGCCAUUUGUUCCUGCUCACUACUUGGCUGAGAGCCUCCACACCAACACCUACCUCCUUAAUUGCCUUCCUACUACGGUGACUCAUGCACCGACAACCCAUUUUGCUCUCUUUGGAACCACUCCUAUGACCAUCUUUGUGUUGUUGGGUGUGCAUGUUGUAAGCAACAAGACUCUUACUCUCAUCGAGAGGAUGACACUACGAGUUGGCCGAGUUUUUUGUUUUUUUUAACCUUUUUUUGACUAAAAUUUACAUUUAGACCCUUGGAUGACUUAUUUCAGGAUUUGGACCCCUAGCUCGGCGCCAUAACCUAUGGCGCCGAGUGAACACAUCUCGGUGCCAUAAGCUAUGGCGCCGAGCUCUGACGUGGCAUCGGCGGCCAAUGGCGGCUAGGGCUGGCGUGGCACCGACGCGGCCUCCUAGCUCGGCGCCACGGAUCUUGGCGCCGAGCUAGGAAGUCCUAUAAAUCGGUCGUUCUGCUGGUCGAGAGCUGCGCCGUCCUCAUUUCUCAACUUUAUCUCCAUUCAAAUCUUCUUCAAAAACGACUAGAUUCGAGUUGGAGUACUUUGUUUACCAAGAUGAAAGACAUGUAUCGGGAGGCGUUGUGACAGAAGGGAGGUCGUCCUCGGGAGUUAUAUCCGGAUAUAUUUAGUAAGGAUGCUCAUGUUCCUCCUGAUCUUCCUGUGCUUAACUAUGACUGUGGCAGACCGGCUUGGGUAUGUCAAUCCAAACAUCCAGACACGACUGCUCGUUGUUUCUACCUUUGUGGCGGUUUUAACGAGCACUUGAGCUGUUUCUUUUUCCAGUGGAUCGACGAUCCUAAUAAAUUUGACCCUCGAUAUCUUAUUUUCGCUAAUUGGUUGUGUGGAAGGACUAGUCAUGAGCGUUUUAAGCGUUGGGUUCCUCCUCCCCCCAAAUCAUCCACCAAUGACGGAUGUGGAGAAGGAGGUAGCAACAGAAAGACGAAUGGAGUCGCCGCCUCGAUGCGAUUGCGAAGAUCGUGUUGUCAUCGAUGAGGACACUGCGAAGUACUUCGUGUGUCCGAACAUUGAUUAUGUGAGUGCAUAACAAAUGUCCAAACUUGUGUUAUUUUUUGCACAAAUUUACUAAUGUAUUCUUCUGCAGCCAUACGGUUGGCGUAAGUGUCAUUUCUUAGAGUGGUUGUAUGGUCCUAUGUCCCAUUAGCCAGAGCCAGAGGCAAAGGAAAAAGAAAAAAAAUGAGUGGGCGGAAGAGUUGAAGUCUGAUCCAGUACUCUACAAAUGUGGUAUUGAAGCUAAGUUUGGAUUAGUUCCUUCCGAGCUUGGUGUUGGCUAUUUUUGUGGACAUAUGGUAGAUUUUCGUUUAUUUCCCACACAGUACCCAAAUGUCAUACCCCAUAGAGGGGUUGGGGUUACAUUUUAUAGCCCGAGGGGCUGCUAUGCUACA